rnacentral:lncRNA from 1 species
GCACCUACACCUAUUUCUUCCUCAAAAGGUGUACCAAGCGGUACCGGAGGGGAAGACACACGGGCAUAUCUACUACUUGAACUACCUCUACCGCUAGUAAUUCGCUUUUUACUACCACUACCGCUUCCGGGACAAAAAAUUUUAACACCUUUAGUAGCGAGGUUUCUUAAUUUAUCCAUAAUAUAAAUUAAAUUAAACUAAAAAUAUUUAAAAUACACAAAUAUAAUAAAAUUAAAUAUUAAACAAUUAAUACAAUAAAUAAAAAUUAAACGUAAGAGAUGGAA